GAUGAACGCUGGCGGCGUGCCUAAUACAUGCAAGUAGAACGCUGAAGGAGGAGCUUGCUCUUCUGGAUGAGUUGCGAACGGGUGAGUAACGCGUAGGUAACCUGCCUGGUAGCGGGGGAUAACUAUUGGAAACGAUAGCUAAUACCGCAUGACAACAGUUAUUGCAUGAUAACUGUUUAAAAGGGGCAACUGCUCCACUACCAGAUGGACCUGCGUUGUAUUAGCUAGUUGGUGAGGUAACGGCUCACCAAGGCGACGAUACAUAGCCGACCUGAGAGGGUGAUCGGCCACACUGGGACUGAGACACGGCCCAGACUCCUACGGGAGGCAGCAGUAGGGAAUCUUCGGCAAUGGACGGAAAUCUGACCGAGCAACGCCGCGUGAGUGAAGAAGGUUUUCGGAUCGUAAAGCUCUGUUGUAAGAGAAGAACGAGUGUGAGAGUGGAAAGUUCACACUGUGACGGUAUCUUACCAGAAAGGGACGGCUAACUACGUG
rnacentral:rRNA from 1 species